rnacentral:rRNA from 1 species
AUACGUAGGGGGCGAGCGUUGUCCGGAAUGAUUGGGCGUAAAGGGCGCGUAGGCGGCCCGGUAAGUCUGGAGUGAAAGUCCUGUUUUUAAGAUGGGAAUUGCUUUGGAUACUGUCGGGCUUGAGUGCAGGAGAGGUAAGUGGAAUUCCCAGUGUAGCGGUGAAAUGCGUAGAGAUUGGGAGGAACACCAGUGGCGAAGGCGAAUUGCUGGACUGUAACUGACGCUGAGGCGCGAAAGUGUGAGGAGCAAGCCGGAUUAGAUCACAUGGUAGUCCGCACUGUAGCCGAUGAAUGCUAGGUGUAGGGGGAAUCGACGCCUUCUGUGCCGCAGUCAACACAAUAAGCAUUCAGCCUGGGCAGUCCGGGCGCAAGGUUGAAUGUCAAAUGACUUGACGGGG